rnacentral:rRNA from 1 species
AACGCGAAGAACCUUACCAGGGCUUGACAUGGGAGGGCCGUGUCCAGAGAUGGGCAUUUCCGCAAGGACCCUCUGCACAGGUGCUGCAUGGCUGUCGUCAGCUCGUGUCGUGAGAUGUUGGGUUAAGUCCCGCAACGAGCGCAACCCUCGCCUUCAGUUGCCAUCAGGUUUGGCUGGGCACUCUGAAGGAACUGCCGGUGACAAGCCGGAGGAAGGUGGGGAUGACGUCAAGUCCUCAUGGCCCUUAUGUCCUGGGCUACACACGUGCUACAAUGGCGGUGACAGUGGGAUGCCAGGUCGCGAGGCCGAGCCGAUCCCAAAAAGCCGUCUCAGUUCAGAUUGCACUCUGCAACUCGGGUGCAUGAAGGUGGAAUCGCUAGUAAUCGCGGAUCAGCACGCCGCGGUGAAUACGUUCCCGGGCCUUGUACACACCGACAUA